AGCAGCCGCGGUAAUUCCAGCUCCAAUAGCGUAUAUUAAAGUUGUUGCAGUUAAAAAGCUCGUAGUUGAAUUUCGGAAUCUGUCCGUUGGUCGGGCUUCAUUGUCCGUACUGGUGUGAUGGGUUCUUACCUUCUGAAUAACCAGCAUGCCAUUCAUUUGGUGCGUUGGGGAAGCAGGACUAUUACCUUGAAAAAAUUAGAGUGCUCAAAGCAGGCUAGUGCCUGAAUACAUUAGCAUGGAAUAAUAAAAUAGGACGGCAUGGUUCUAUUUUGUUGGUUUCUAGGAUCACCGUAAUGAUUAAUAGGGAUAGUUGGGGGCAUUAGUAUUCAAUUGUCAGAGGUGAAAUUCUUGGAUUUAUUGAAGACUAACUUCUGCGAAAGCAUUUGCCAAGGAUGUUUUCAUUAAUCAAGAACGAAAGUUAGGGGAUCGAAGACGAUCAGAUACCGUCGUAGUCUUAACCAUAAACUAUGCCGACUAGGGAUCGNANGGAUGUUAAUUUUUUAAUGACUCG
rnacentral:rRNA from 1 species